ACCCGCUGAACUUAAGCAUAUCAAUAAGCGGAGGAAAAGAAACCAACAGGGAUUACCUCAGUAACGGCGAGUGAAGCGGUAACAGCUCAAAUUUGAAAUCUGGCCUCACGGUCCGAGUUGUAAUUUGUAGAGGAUGCUUCGAGCAUGGUCUGGCCUAAGUUCCUUGGAACAGGACGUCAUAGAGGGUGAGAAUCCCGUAUGCGGCCAGGUGCCUACGCUCAUGUGAAGCUCCUUCGACGAGUCGAGUUGUUUGGGAAUGCAGCUCAAAAUGGGUGGUAAAUUUCAUCUAAAGCUAAAUAUUGGCCAGAGACCGAUAGCGCACAAGUAGAGUGAUCGAAAGAUGAAAAGCACUUUGGAAAGAGAGUUAAACAGUACGUGAAAUUGUUGAAAGGGAAGCGCUUGCAACCAGACUUGCGCGCGGCCGAUCAUCCGGUGUUCUCACCGGUGCACUCGGCCGUGCUCAGGCCAGCAUCGGUUUUGGCGGCUGGAUAAAGGCCCUAGGAAUGUGGCUCCUCUCGGGGAGUGUUAUAGCCUAGGGUGCAAUGCAGCCUGCUGGGACCGAGGACCGCGCUUCGGCUAGGAUGCUGGCGUAAUGGUGGUAAGCGGCCCGUCUUGAA
rnacentral:rRNA from 1 species